UACAUACAGUAAAAAUUAAAAAGCAAUGUUUCCUCAUCCAUGAUGUCACCUUCUGUCUCUCUUUCCAGAAGCAGCUGUAAGCAGUUCGAUGUUGUUAGGUGUUUCUUCUAACCCUCCUGUGUGAUCUCUGAUCUGCGGUGUGUAUGUCUACAUAUAUGUGUCUGAGAAUGUGUAGUUACAGCACACUCACAUCAAGGAUCUUAAUGCAUGUACUGCUCUUUUAUUUGCUUUUUUCAAUGAACAAUAAUCCUUCCCUUUUGGUGCAUAUAAAUUCUCUUCCUUCUUUGCUAAAUAGCUCCUUUGUGUCAUCUUUUGCAUUUAUCUCAAAUAUCUAGGAAGAUGACCUUAUCUUUGAGGAAAACAGCUUGCCUGGAAUACCUUGUGGGCAAGGCGGGCACACACCUUUGAAAUACUCCCACAAAGCAAUUCACCUGUUCCAGUCACAGGUGAAUUGGUGGCCCCAGCUUGGCCCUUGAGAACCUUUACCGUCAGUUAAUUGCGGAAAUGGUGGACAUCGUAUAAGGGAGCCUCUCGAGCAGGCCUGGCUGCCCCAAAGCAUGCUGAGCAAAUUUCCCCAUGAUGCUUGAUGGAGAGUCCCAAGGCUCAGAGCAAAUCUGAUGCAAAUCUCCCCUCUGCUCCUUCUCAGCACAGUGUCAGUCCACCUGCCAAGAGAACCACGCCCAAGUACUUCCUGUGCGUGCGUGCAAGCUCAAUUACUUCAGUCGUGUCUGACACUUUGCAACCCUAUGGACUGUAGCCCGCCAGGCUCCUCUGUCCAUGGAAUUCCCCAGGCAAGAAUACUGGUGGGUAGCCACGCCCUCCUCCAUGGGAUCUUCCUGACCCAGCCCUAGCUUCUCCUCUUUCCUCCCAUUUUCAAGAAGCAUGCCUUGGGGAGGAUCAAGACUAAUAGUGAGACUGUCAAGAGAAGGAAAGAAACAGUAUCUGUUCAGCUUGUGACUUCCAAGACACCAAGGCAAGACUUUUGAGUCUGCAGCAUCCAGAAGUUGGAUUUUGGCAAGAAAGAUAAGGAUUUCCCAAACUUGCUGAACUCCCAUGAAUAUCAUCAAGUACCAGGCCAGGAGGGCCAGGUGACGUGACAGAAUCUGACAUCAGACAAGACAGAAAGCAGCCAGGCUGUGAUGUGUGCAGCUCUGCCCCUCAAACCGUCACAUGCAUACGAAUCACCUAGCCUUGUUAAAAUGCAGACUCAGUUCAGAAGGUCUGGGGCGGGGCCCAAGAAUCUGCAUUUCUUCCGGGGUCCUAGGUGAUGCCGAUGCUGCUCGUCCAUGGACCGUGCUGGUGGCAAGGAUGUGAGGGAGAGCGAGGUAAAAAGUGAAGCAAGAAGAGCCCUCUCCUCCUGGCCCAGGGAAUUGUGGGAAGAAGAUGGACCAAGGUCAGGGAUGUGCUGUCCCGCCUCCUCCAGGUGGAGGUCCCAGAGUAAGGAGGAAAGCUAAGUAGGCUGCGGGGAAAGGCAAAAGCAGAGGGUCUUUGGGCCCGGAUCCUCAUCUAAAGCUCCGGUAGUGGGAGGGGUUGGGAGGUAGAGCAAGCCCUGUGCUGGGGACUCUGGCAACACAGGGGUGUGGGGUGCCCAGUUUGGCCUUCCUAAAGCCCUGGGCACCACGUGACGGAGAAGGGACUGGGGGAGCCCCAGCUGGCUGCUACAGAGCGUGUGUGAAUCUGUCUGGGGCCACAGGGCUACACAAGGGUCUUGGGCUGAUUGGGAAUUACAACGAUGCUUCUAGGGGCAGCAGAACUUUCAGGAACUGGGUGAGGGUGGCUAAUGGGUUGUCCGUGCCAAGAGAGCAGGCCAAGGGUUACACCUGCCAUGGAUGCCAGCAGCAAAUGUCCCUGGGACUGCAGGGACAGGCUGUCCCUCCCAGCUCAUGGCCAGUCCAGACGGUCACCCAGAGCAGAGAGCCACGAGGGGGCCAGUCAGCCAGGGAUCCACCCCCACCAGCACCCUGAGCAGCACAAGAAUCCUGGUCCUCAUUACCAAAUGGCUCAUUAGAGUUGAAUUUUGAACUCCUGUGUAUUUACCCCUCAAACCCCAAGCCAGUCCAUUAAAGUCAAUUAAAUAGCCUA